CUGACGCAUUUUGCAACUGAAAAUAUAGCAGAAAGAGAGAAAAAGUUUUACAUUAUUGAAUGAUGCAAAAAUUUACUACACGAAGCUGGAAUAUAUAAAAUUUAUCAAAGGCGUUCAUUCAUAUAAUAUGCAUACAGGCAUACAUGCACACAUAUGUACUUAUAUGUAUAUUCAGCCACACACGCAUUAAUACACCAAAACAAGAUGUUGUGUAUUGAUUGAAAAAUCGAUAAAAUUGAAGCUAGUCAAGGACAUUCUUCCCUCUUCGAGUUUAAAUAGGUUUCUGAAUAUUAAAAAAAAUACAUACAAAAUUGUACAGAUUGGAAGGAAAAAAUAUCAUUAUUUUUUUCAGUCAACGGCAAAUAUAUUUUUGUUAUACAGACUUUCAAACACUUUGCUUAGUUGGAUAAAGAAGCGAAGCGAAUGAAUCUGGUGGUAAACGAGGACAAGAUGAAGUUUCUGCUGUCCUCAAAUAAGCAAUCAGCUGAGUUGCUUAUCGACCCCCCCACCACUGUUGACAGUAAUAAAGUAGUAAUGCUUUGAAACCUUUAAUCCAACGGAUCAUCUACUUUGGACUAAAAAGACAAUUAAGUAGUAAAGCCCUAUCUCGACGAACAAAAAUCGCAUCUCUUAAGUUCCUCAUCAUAUCCGUCGUAUUGUAUAGGGUGGGCCAUGUAAACGAUGCAGCAGCCAGCUUCCUUCGGCUGAAUUCUGCUCGAAGACGUUUAAAGCGCGCAACGGUAGUAGACCUUAUGGAGAGUGAAUAGCGCAUAUAUUGUA